GCCUCCGUAGUUCAAUGGAUAGAAUACGAGCUUGCGGAGCUUGUGAUCGAGGUUCAAUUCCUCGCGGAGGCA
rnacentral:tRNA from 1 species